UACGGAGGGUGCAAGCAUUAAUCGGAUUUAUUGGGCGUAAAGGGCGCGUAGGCGGAAAGAUAAGUCAGAUGUGAAAUCCCGGGGCUCAACCUCGGAACAGCAUUUGAAACUAUCUUUCUAGAGGGUAGGCGGAGAAAACGGAAUUCCACAAGUAGCGGUGAAAUGCGUAGAUAUGUGGAAGAACACCGGUGGCGAAGGCGGUUUUCUAGCUUACUCCUGACGCUGAGGCGCGAAAGCACGGGGAUCAAACAGG
rnacentral:rRNA from 1 species